rnacentral:rRNA from 1 species
GCGUGAGAACAUGCCUUUAGAUUGGGACAACAGUUGGAAACGACUGCUAAUACCGAAUGUGCCUUAGGGUGAAAGAUUUAUUUGCUAGAGAUUGGCUCGCGUCAGAUUAGCUAGUUGGAGUGGUAACGGCACACCAAGGCGACGAUCUGUACUUGGUCUGAGAGGAUGACCAGGCACACUGGAACUGAGACACGGUCCAGACUCCUACGGGAGGCAGCAGUGGGGAAUUUUCCGCAAUGGGCGAAAGCCUGACGGAGCAAUACCGCGUGAGGGAGGACGGCUUUUGGGUUGUAAACCUCUUUUAUCAGGGAAGAAUCGAUGACGGUACCUGAUGAAUCAGCAUCGGCUAACUCCGUGCCAGCAGCCGCGGUAAUACGGAGGAUGCAAGCGUUAUCCGGAAUUAUUGGGCGUAAAGCGUCCGUAGGUGGUUUAUCAAGUCUGCUGUCAAAGCGUGCGGCUUAACGGCAUAAGGGCAGUGGAAACUGAUGAACUAGAGUGUGAUAGGGGUAAAAGGAAUUCCCAGUGUAGCGGUGAAAUGCGUAGAUAUUGGGAAGAACACCAGCGGCGAAAGCGUGUUACUGGGUCUGCACUGACACUGAGGGACGAAAGCUAGGGGAGCGAAU